UAUAUAUAUAUAUAUAUACACUUAUAUAGUUAUAUCUGAACUUAUGUAGUUAUGCUAAUUAUUACAUUAUCAAGCCUUUGUGAAUUCUUGCAGAAACUAUGGGUUAACCAUUCGGAUAUUGAUUGACUGAUGAAAUUAAUCAGGGUGGAAGUAGAAUCAAUAACCACGUCCUCUUUGAAUGUGAACUAAUCAAGAGUGUGUGGGAGGAAAGCAAGCAUGCUGCUUUGGUAGAAGAUGGUCAUGUGGGUUCAGUGGCGGCAAAGCUGAUUAAGUGAACUAGCAAGAUGGGAAAAGAUAGGUGAGAGAAAUCAUGACAAUUGCGUGGGUGAUUUGGUUUUGUCGAAACCAUUUUGUAUAUGCUCAUGAAAUAUUGAAAGUUCACGUCAUGGUUGUAAGUUUUCUUCAAAUUGUGGCUGAUUUUGAUGCUUACAAACAAUAGGUAUUACCUUCUUUCAUUCGCACUAGGCCAAGUUUAUUUAGCACACAACGAAAGGAACCACCCCUGGGUACGCUGAAGAUAAAUGUUGAUGUCCAUAUGGUGGAGGGUGUAUAUAGGAAUGGGGGUUGUGAUAUGGGAUGCUGAUGGGAGAAUUGUGUUGGUUGUUGUGAAAAGGAUGGACUUUGGCUAGGACACAAGGUUGGCUGAAGUUGCUGCGCUGCUUGCUAUGGGCUGUAGGUUGCUCGGAGAUGUGGGCAUGAUGAUGUUUGGCUUGAGGGAGAUGCACUCGACGUGGUUCAUGAGGUGUUGAAGGAGAAUGAUGGUUGUGCUCCAAUCUGCUUGUUAUUCCUUCAAAGACUCUCCGAGUAGCGGUUAUGUAUAAUAAUGCGCCACAAUUUAUGUUUCCUAUAACCGCUAAAUUCGCUAAUACAAUCAGCACGUCUUUAA